UGAGACCCUCCCUCUGCCCUCCCUCUGGGGCCUCACCUCUGGGGUCCCUCACUGGCCUGUGCCUCUUGAUAGCGCUGCUCCCGGAGGGCUGCCUCCCGCAGCUCCCGUUCCCGGCGCUCCUGCUCCAGUCGCUGCCGCUCCUCCUCUGCCCGCCGCUUCUCUUCCAGCCUGCGAUUCUCCUCCUCCUUCUGCAGGGAGAGCCGACCCCGCCUGCCCCACUCAGCAGUUGCACAGCAAGCAGGCGAGCCUCCCUUCCUGCCCCCCCACCCCAUGCAAGUGUGGCCUGUGCAGAAGCGUGCUCAAGCGCAGCCACUAAUGAGGACACGUGUUCUUUAUCAUGAGAAACACAGGGACGGCAAGGAAGACACCCUGACACCUGGCACGCAUGAUCUCCUUGAGGGCUGGCUGUGCUCGACGCACCCGCACAGCACUCACCUCUGCUUUGGCCCAGAAGCUGUCUUUGCCGACCCUUUUGAUCUCAGAGAUGGCGUUGGUCUUCUGGUACACAGAGCCCUGUGGACGACAGAGGAUCCGCUACAGGACCGUCUGCGGGAGCACAGAACGUGAACAAUAGUUGUGGGGACCGUGCCUAGCAGUGGCAGUGACACCUGGCCCGGGGCCUCUUCACCAAGAUGGCCUGAAGGCCCCAGGAACCACUGGGCAAUGCCAAGGGGGUUUUUGGCUGCACUAGGCCCCAAUGGAUAGAAGCCAAGGAGGUUCUGAGGCUGGCUGCUUCUAGGAGCUGGUCCACUAGCCUCAGACAGCUGGUCACCGUGCCAGUGUCCAGGGAGACUCCACAGACUGCAGCGCUGCUUCGGGGAACUGGGCUCCCCAUAACCAGGAUGUCUGGUGUCUACCCACAGCUGGAAGGGGCCUGACCAUCCAGCACUUAAAGCUCCCCCAUGGUGCCCACCAUCCAGGGCCGUUCAGGACAGGCUGGACUGUCCUGCAGAGCCUCUGACCACACAAAACAGGUGUAAGAGGCUCCAGAAUAGCCAGUGGAACCAGCAGGCAGGGUAGAGGGCUGCUCCUCACGCCCACUAGCACCUGCCUACUAGGAGGCAGCUCCGGCUUCUCUCUGGCCUAGGCUCACCAUCUGCACCUAGAUCUGCCUCCAGGACCGGAAGCCCUUGAGGGAUAAGACACGCUUGGCCCUGGGCAGCACUCACCACUGGGGCCUGAGGGCCUAUGUCCUGGAAACGACCACUCUCCUUGUGGAAGGCAUAGUUGGCUCCUGAGGCCCUGGCCACUUUCUGCAUGAUGCACUCAGGCUCCACGUCCUCCUCAGCCCUCGCGUUGAUGGUUACAUGCGCCCCCUGCAGCAGGACAGCACCUAGGUGUUGCAGCUCCAGGAGAGGACAGGACGCAGCCCCAAGUCUGCAGAGCGCAGACAACUGCUGCCUGGGGUUCGAGGUCAGGAGACCCUGCUGGGGCCCUAGGCACGCUCUCCACAAGACCGACAAACUACCUUGAGGCAGAGAGCCUGUUCUCACCCCAGCACCUUGCCCCUUCCCAAGCUGAUUCCCCAGGGCUGUGUGUUCGCUGCUGGAGGCCCAGGCAGGAAAUAGUCCUGAUUAACGAAAUCAACAAAUUAACGAAAAGCCAACUUAAAAAAGGAUCUGGAAAUGCAAUUUCUGCAAAGAGCAAACCACUUAUUUCUUCUUCCUUUUUUUUUUUUUUUGUCUUAUUUAUUCAAGUAAUCUCUACACUCAACCUGGGACUUGAACUCAGGACCCUGAGAUCGAGAGUCGCUCACUCCUCACACGGAGCCAGCUGGGCGCCCCAGGCACCAAUUUCUUUUCUUUUCUUUUUUUUUUUUUCAGGCACCAAUUUCUUAUUGAGAAGUCAGACCCAUGACCUCACUCCCUGCUGGUAAACAUCCAACAGCUUGGGAUCCUCUUUCAGCUCCCAGAUGGAGAAACUGAGGCAUGUCUGAAAAAGCGUCAGCAGACUAGAAAUCAAAGUCCUAGAUCUUUCUGCCAGUAACCAAAGAAAUGCAGGUUAUCUGACAAGCAAACAACAAAGGCUUCUGGAACUAAACGAGGUUCCGCUGCGAGGACUGAUGUAAAUACACACGUAGGUUGGCUACAAACAGGGUACAGGGAAAUGUGCCCGCUGAGGGGGCUGGGCACCUGCACCCUUCCUGCUCCUCCAAAUCCUGACAACACGGCUGAAUAAACCCUCACAAAACCAACGGAACCCAAGACCUCGCUCCAGAUUGGCCUUCCCUGUGCUUGAAAAGGACAAUCGCCUGUUCCUCCCCGCUGCUAACACCAGCUUGCUGGUCGCUCUGGCCACAGCAUGGCCCUCUGGGUGCUGGCCAAGCAGGAGCGCAGCAGCCUCUGCUCAUGUCCUCAAGUCCAAAGAGAGCAUCGGGGAGUGGGACCCACUUCCGGUUCUGGCUGUGAUUCGCGCUCACGCCCGCCCAAGAUCGCAGGAGCCUGGAGACCUGUGUGAGGCCUUCAGGGUGCAGCCCUCACCUUCAGAAAGCUGGCCAUGGUGCUGACGUGGUUGGCGCACGCUCCCUUCCGCACAUCGUUCACACCUUCGCCUGUCUGCAACAUGACACACCCGGCGUGACCUGCCAACUUCCCACCGCCCUGCCUCCCUAGGGACCCAGCAGAGGGACAACUGUGACCCUACAGCAGACCAUACGGGAACCUGAUCUCAAACCUCAGAGCUCGAAGGGCAACCCUGAGAACCUGUUGCAUCAGAAACGGAAGAGUGAAGGCCAGUCACUCAGCAGGGAUCAUGUCACUCAUGAAGAACAUGUUGAAAGUUUGCUGUUCUGAAAGCUUCCUGGAAGAAAAAAAAGUAGACAUAAAUGUCAGCUAUCGCUUAGGGUGAUGAGUGAAUUAUGUUUUAAUUUAUCCUUAAUAAAAGUCUGCUCUGCUCCGC